GCAAAAAAAAUAAAGGGAAAACAAAGAAAAAAAAUUUGUACACCAAGAAAGUUUGAAAAAAAUAGUUUGUGCAGCGACUUUUCAAUGGGGAAAAUUAUGAGUUGAAGUAAAAGAAAAUUGUGCAAGGGAUUAUAUUUAAAAAAAAUUAUUGACACAAGCAAAAAAAUAAAAAAAAAUAUUCGUACAAGUUUCGAUGGUAUCGGGCCUAUCGGCUUUUUGGUACUAAAAUAGAAGUAUCUGUGAUUUUGUCGUUGAUAUUACUGAUAUUCAGGGGUGAAAAAAAUGGUGAGCACAUGAGCGCUGCUGCUCGCAGGAAAUGUUAAACAGCUGCAGGAAAUUCAUUUGAAUGAAGAUUUGCUGUUGCAAAUUUGAAGGAAACCUUAACACCCAUGCCCUACUAUGGACCCC